GCUGUUUCUUUACUGAACUGGUCAGUGGUAAUACAAAACCAGGGUUUCAAAAAGAUGAAGAAAAAGAAAAAGACAUUUAAACAUGUAAAAAUUUAUUUAAAAGCAAAUCAGAUAUAGUGUUUAACUGAAAUUGAAAAAAAAGAAUCAUAAUAGUCUAUAAUAUGUAAAAAUUUAUAUCAAAAAAGCUAACAGCAAAAUGAAAG
rnacentral:lncRNA from 1 species